rnacentral:rRNA from 1 species
UACGAAGGACCCAAGCGUUAUCCGGAUUUAUUGGGUUUAAAGGGUGCGUAGGCGGGUUUUUAAGUCAGUGGUGAAAGCCUACAGCUUAACUGUAGAAUUGCCAUUGAUACUGAAGAUCUUGAGUAUGAUUGAGGUGGGCGGAAUGUGUCAUGUAGCGGUGAAAUGCUUAGAUAUGACACAGAACACCGAUUGCGAAGGCAGCUCACUAAGCCAUAACUGACGCUGAUGCACGAAAGCGUGGGGAGCAAACAGG